rnacentral:rRNA from 1 species
GGCGAACGGGUGAGCAACACGUGGGUGAUCUGCCCUGCACUUCGGGAUAAGCUUGGGAAACUGGGUCUAAUACCGGAUAGGAGCCAUCUUUAGUGUGGUGGUUGGAAAGUUUUUCGGUGUAGGAUGAGCUCGCGGCCUAUCAGCUUGUUGGUGGGGUAAUGGCCUACCAAGGCGGCGACGGGUAGCCGGACUGAGAGGUUGGUCGGCCACAUUGGGACUGAGAUACGGCCCAG